rnacentral:rRNA from 1 species
AUGCAGCUUAACAGUUGCAGGGGUUGCACUUGCAGUUGUCGCCGCAGCUGCAGCCCUCGCCGGACUGCCCGGCGGCCACCUCGAACUGUCCCGCCUUGUUCUCAGGCGCCACGCCGAGGACGACCACGGCGGCGACCUCGGCGGCGGCGCUGCCCUGCUCCGUCAGAUCAGGGUACAUCUUCCUGCAACGGGCGAAGGCAACCGUCUGAGCCGCAGCUGCAGCCUGAUCCGCAGUUGCAAGACAUCCUCCAAAUCUGUGGACCCAAAAAGAUUUCAAGGAGAAGAAGAUGA